rnacentral:lncRNA from 1 species
UUUUGGACUCUGAACUCAGAGGUUUGAUUUCCCUCCCUUCCCCUUCUCUCUUCUCUCCCGAAUAUUUGUUACAGUUGCAUUUUUCAAACCAUUUACUGUUGAGAGGGUAAGUGGAGUGACAGAGCUCAUAAUGUGCAAAUAAAUGGGAACGAAGCUCGUCAGCUCGAGUGGAAUGAAUUACUGUCGCCAGCGAGAUGCCAUGAUGGGGAGCAGCUGCCUGACGCCGGGUGGGGGCUCGAGCAGAUGCCAGGAGCACCCAUUCUGCAAGUCACGAGAGUCAGAAAUGUUUCCAGACAUUGCUGCACGGCGGCCCCCAAUCCCACUGGAGAUGGACAACCUCUGCUCUCCUGUGACACUCUCAGACAGUGCUGGAAUGAUCUCUUGUGGAUCUGCUUCCUUGCUUUGAAUUUAAAACCAUUUUUUAAAAAUUAAUGUUUUUCCUGAAAAAAAAAAAUCAAUUUUAAUUGAAUUGAACAGAAAAAAAAAAAAAAAAAGGAAGUAAACCUGAA